rnacentral:lncRNA from 1 species
AAAGUGGAGAAGGGAAAGAGCAAUGUGAAAGAGGAGAAGCUAAAGCAGCAGCAGCAAGCAAAUGCAGCAGUAGUAAUAGAAGAAGGAGAAACAGCAGAGGAGAGUGAGGAUAAACAGGAAAAUGAAGGGAGAGAAGGAAGAUAAGAACAAGGAAAAAAAGCUGGAGCAGUCAGGUUUUAUUGGCGGUUUGAGACCAUCCAGAUAUCUCUCUCUGUGCACAGGAAUGAACAGCACUCCAGAUGGUGCAGCUCCGUCAGCCUUGAUGCCCAAUUGUACACAAUGAAUGGACUUCCCACCUGGCUAUAUGUUAUAUGCUCAAACAAGAAUGACCAUACAGCAUUAAUGACACAUAUAACUGCUACUUACAGACAAUUGGAUUUGUGCUUUGUAUUUUAUGGAUGUAUAAACUUACCCAGGCUGUCUGAUCCACCCCCUUCUCACAUUUAGUUUAAUAAAAAAAUUAGAAGCCAUCAUCUAAGAAACCCAUGCAAUCCUUGUUUGUCUCUGAAGCAUCCAUGUAUCUUCCAUUCUGUGUGAAUUUAAUGUCACCUGUACUCCUGGUUUUACUUACUUAAUUCUCUUGGCACCCUCAUUUUAUCAUUGUCUAUCUUAUCUAUGUAACCCAUCCCUUCUAUUAUAUUUAGAUGACUAAAAGUUUGUUUCUGGAACUCUAUUCUGUUUCAUUGUUCUAUUGGUUUAUCUUUGCACCAAUCCCACAUUGUUUCAAUUACUCUAGAUUUUUGACAAGUCUUUCAAUAUAGCAGUAUGUUUAAGUAAAUUAUCAAGCUUAGGGUUCUUUUUUAAGAUUUUUUUUUUGGCUAUUUUUGGCCCUGGGUAUUUUCAUAUGUAUCUUAGAACCAGUAUGUUGAUUUUGGCAAAUAUUAUUAUUCUGGGUGUGGCCUAUAGUUGAAUUUAAAAUAAGCAUCUUUAUAUCAUUGGAUUUUCUAGUAUAUGAAUGUAAGAUACAUUCUUAUGUUUACUUUGCUCCUCUUUAAUUUCUCUCAUCAAUGUUGUGUAAUUUUCAGGUACUGACCUUUCAUUUUAUUUUGGCUGUUUAAGGCUUUGGUGUUUUUUGU